ensembl:lncRNA
GAAAAUUAGCUUGUUAUCUCUCAUCAGUGUUAAAAUAGUGGGAAUUUAACAGACACUUGUUAUCAAAUACUGAAUUUAUCCAAUGCAAAAAAAUUGACUCUCUAGGUUGCAGGACAACAGUUUAACUUUUGUGGGAAAAAAGAUUCUGGUUUGACCAACCAGUGAUCAGACAAUAAAUUUAGUUGUUGAUAUAGUAAAUUGGGAGAAGCUUCCUGCUUGAUUGAUGCAGCACAAGUAAUUAGGGUUAUGUUGUGUGUUGUGCAGCUGAUGGUUGGUUUGGAGUGAAUCUAGCUGAUGAUUUUUCUUUUGUUGUGAAGUUGAGCCUGCCAAUUAGUGUGAUGGUAUGAUGAACCAUGCUAAUGGUAUGAUUUACCCUCCUGAGAUGAGGAGCUUGUGUCAUGACUUAACAAGGCCUUUUUAUUUUGAUACUUUCACAGUGCACUGAAAGUUUUGUUUGAUAAUUUCUGUUAUUUUUCAUUUUUUUUUCAACAGGCACUGAUUUUUGUUUGUCAAUUUCUUUUCUUUAAGCAGAUCUACACGUCGGGAAUUAAAAGUGCUAUACGACAUUUUGAGAAAACCGUUACAAGUGAGUUUCUCCACAUUAAAAUGGGCUCUGGAGAAAGCCACUUAUUUGGGACAAUUAGAAAAUGAGAGUCCCUCCCUAAAAAGGAUUCAGCGAGGAAAUCCGAUCUAAAGUUCUUCUUUUUCUUUUGAAAUGACGCCAUUUUGCUGAAAGUGGAAACUAAAUGCGACGAUGGUUUCCACUAUCAGCAAAGAAAGAAUGAAUGAAUGAAUGGAAAUAAAAAAAAAAACAAACUGACUGACUGGUAAAAGCUGACAAGACUUGACCACGACUCAAGGUUAACCUCCACCUCGACAGGACAAAGGGUGGAUGAAUUUAUGUUCCUGUUACAGGAGCAGAAAGAUGACAGCCACAUUCGAGGUUGCAUGACGAUUUAACCUUUUAAUUAAAUGCCAUUUUCUGUGUCUGUGCAUCUACCAGGGGUGUUAUUCACUACCUUGUGUUGCUCACAGAGGAAACUGUGAC